rnacentral:lncRNA from 1 species
UGGAGUUGCUAAUGGGUUGGGCAGGAGGUCUGUGAAAUAGUUCCCCUUUGACCUCUCCCCACCCACGUCAACACAAAUGUAAUUCCUAGGAAAAGAUGCACGACCGGUCUCCUAGCCCUGUGAGCUAUUCAUUGCUACGUGGCAGAUUAUAGUAGAAACAUUUUUAUACUUGCAUUUUUCGUCUUUAUUAGAAGCCUUUGGAUGUAUUUUUACAGUUGAAAGAUUUAGAAAGAUUUUUACCUGCUUAUAACUUGGAAAUUUGGCGUGCAAUGUAUGGGAAAAGAUCGAGAAACAUCAUGUUAUUAGCAUUGGUCCAUCUACAAAUAAAUACAAAGGUGUUUCUAUUGCCGAUAUAUAUUUUUUUUGGCCCAGUUUUAUUUUGCACCAAUGUGGCCCCAAGUUACUGCUAGUUGUAUGUAGUUUGUGAAUAGGAGCCCAUAAGUGUUAAUAGACUUUGUAACUUUCACUGUAAGAUGAGUUAUACAGGACAUGGAAAAUCUCAUUAAGUCUUAAAGAUAAUUUAAAUUAAUUUAUCUGUUUUCUCUAAGAAAUGUUUAUCAUAAAAUAUAUAUGUGUAUUUCCCCUUUGGUUAUAAAAUUUGGGAAAGUGUGUACACGUGCAGCUGCACGGACUUUAAUUUUCUAGAUGUCUUAAUGAGAUUUAUUUGUUUUAGGGAAGAACAACUUGUUACAAGCAUCAAAUUCUGUCUUACAUCGCUGUCAGCAGCCUCUUGCAGAUGUGGUGGUUGUGUGAUCUGUGUCAUAGUUCAGUUAGAGUGAGAGGUUGACCUCUGAAUCAUUGUUAAAUUGUCUGUUUGGAGCAAAGCUGCAAAGUUAUGGUCAAGUACUGUACAGCGAGAAACUAUUGCAACGUUGAAUAUAUCUGUGGCUUCACAUGUGUGAGAGUUAACCAGCUUGAAAAUGAUGGUGUUGACUACCUCUUGAAUUACUUACAGCUACCAACCACUGGCACCCACCACCAGCUGGCUUUAAUUAGUAUGUAUUGCUUUUUUGGUAUUAACAACUUUAACCACAAUAGAGACCAAAGUGAACACUGAUUUCUAUAUGACUUUAAUAUGGUGUUUUAUCUAGUGUUUUACAAUUAUCCUGUGUAGUCUUUAGAUGACCUCAUUGUCCAUUUUGGCUCAUGUUGUUUACAAGUGAAAAUAAAAAACACUUGAACUGUAUGUUUUUAAAGGACAAAAAAGGAAUAGAUGGUCGGAAUGGCGUUUCACUUGUGUACAGUCAUCUCAAUGGACUACAAGUACUGUUUGCCUUUCUGCAGACCGUGGAUUUUAUAUUAUCAUCUCAUGGCUAGUGUCUUAUUCUGUCAAUUAUGGAUAUUUUGAGGUUUAAAGAAAUUACUUGA